CAGUCGCCGCGGGAAUAUGAAGGGUGCAAGCGUUAAUCGGAAUUACUGGGCGUAAAGCGUGCGUAGGCGGUGAGUUAAGUCUGCUGUGAAAUCCCCGGGCUCAACCUGGGAAUGGCAGUGGAUACUGGCUCGCUAGAGUGUGUCAGAGGAUGGUGGAAUUCCCGGUGUAGCGAUGAAAUGCGUAGAGAUCGGGAGGAACAUCAGUGGCGAAGGCGGCCAUCUGGGACAACACUGACGCUGAGGCACGAAAGCGUGGGGAGCAAACAGGAUUAGAUACCCCCGUAGUCCCUGUCUCUUAUAC
rnacentral:rRNA from 1 species